CGUUCAAGGGUAAGAAAUGUUGGCAGCUUGGAAGAGAAAACAGGUCUCUGUCAAGUGACACAAGUGGAAUUUCAAAGGCCAGGGAACGCAUGUGGC